rnacentral:rRNA from 1 species
GACGAACGCUGGCGGCGUGCUUAACACAUGCAAGUCGAACGGUAAGGCCCUUCGGGGUACACGAGUGGCGAACGGGUGAGUAACACGUGGGUGAUCUGCCCUGCACUUCGGGAUAAGCCUGGGAAACUGGGACUAAUACCGGAUAGGACCACUGCCUGCAUGGGUGGUGGUGGAAAGCUUUUGCGGUGUGGGAUGGGCCCGCGGCCUAUCAGCUUGUUGGUGGGGUGAUGGCCUACCAAGGCGACGACGGGUAGCCGGCCUGAGAGGGUGACCGGCCACACUGGGACUGGGAUACGGCCCAGACUCCGACGGGAGGCAGAAGUGGGGAAUAUUGCACAAUGGGCGCAAGCCUGAUGCAGCGACGCCGCGUGAGGGACGACGGCCUUCGGGUUGUAAACCUCUUUCAGCACCGACGAAGCGCAAGUGACGGUAGGUGCAGAAGAAGGACCGGCCAACUACGUGCCAGCCGCCGCGGUAA